CAGGGGUAGUUUAAUGUCCCUGGUGGUAGUUCGAUCCCUCUUCUAUACCAGAGUAGGCAUUUCCAGGGGUGGUUUAGUGUCCCUGGUGGUAGUUCGAUCCUUCUUCUAUACCAGAGUAGGCAUUUCCAGGGGUAGUUUAAUGUCCCUGGUGGUAGUUCGAUCCCUCUUCUAUACCAGAGUAGGCAUUUCCAGGGGUAGUUUAAUGUCCCUGGUGGUAGUUCGAUCCUUCUUCUAUACCAGAGUAGGCAUUUCCAGGGGUAGUUUAAUGUCCCUGGUGGUAGUUCGAUCCUUCUUCUGUACCUAUAAAAAGACUAAUUUGAAUCUAA